rnacentral:rRNA from 1 species
GAAGUAGUUAGCCUAACCGCAAGGGGGGCGAUUACCACGGUAGGAUUCAUGACUGGGGUGAAGUCGUAACAAGGUAGCCGUAUCGGAAGGUGCGGCUGGAUCACCUCCUUUCAGA